AUUGAACGCUGGCGGCAGGCUUAACACAUGCAAGUCGAACGAUGAUUAUCUAGCUUGCUAGAUAUGAUUAGUGGCGGACGGGUGAGUAACAUUUAGGAAUCUGCCUAGUAGUGGGGGAUAGCUCGGGGAAACUCGAAUUAAUACCGCAUACGACCUACGGGUGAAAGGGGGCGCAAGCUCUUGCUAUUAGAUGAGCCUAAAUCAGAUUAGCUAGUUGGUGGGGUAAAGGCCCACCAAGGCGACGAUCUGUAACUGGUCUGAGAGGAUGAUCAGUCACACCGGAACUGAGACACGGUCCGGACUCCUACGGGAGGCAGCAGUGGGGAAUAUUGGACAAUGGGGGCAACCCUGAUCCAGCCAUGCCGCGUGUGUGAAGAAGGCCUUUUGGUUGUAAAGCACUUUAAGCAGGGAGGAGAGGCUAAUGGUUAAUACCCAUUAGAUUAGACGUUACCUGCAGAAUAAGCACCGGCUAACUCUGUGCCAGCCGCC
rnacentral:rRNA from 1 species